rnacentral:misc_RNA from 1 species
AGGCGGAGAGGCUGGGCUGCC